UCCGCUUCCGGUCCGCGAACCUGGGGCGUGCGGGGGGAGCGGGACCGGGCCGGGCCGGGCCGCUCCCGGCUCCUUCGGUACUCCCGGCUCUUUCGGCACUCCCGGCUCUUUCGGCACCUUCCCACACCUGUCCCGUGCUUCUGGGAGUGGAUCAGCGCUGCAAUACUUGCUCGUCCUGAGAAUCCACUACAUAAAUCACGAUAAGAACGCCACUAAGCAACUUCUGUACAGUUUAUUGACAAACAAAUUAAAGCUAUUUAUUACAAAGACGUUCCUGA